GACGAACGCUGGCGGCGUGCUUAACACAUGCAAGUCGAACGGAAAGGCCCCUUUGGGGGUCCUCGAGUGGCGAACGGGUGAGUAACACGUGAGUAACCUGCCCUUGACUUCGGGAUAACUUCAGGAAACUGGGGCUAAUACCGGAUAGGAAUCCUUGCUGCAUGGUGGGGGUUGGAAAGCUUCGGCGGUUUUGGAUGGACUCGCGGCUUAUCAGCUUGUUGGUGGGGUAGUGGCUUACCAAGGCUUUGACGGGUAGCCGGCCUGAGAGGGCGACCGGCCACAUUGGGACUGAGAUACGGCCCAGACUCCGACGGGAGGCAGCAGGGGGGAAUAUUGCACAAUGGGCGGAAGCCUGAUGCAGCAACGCCGCGUGCGGGAUGACGGCCUUAGGGUUGUAAACCGCUUUCAGCAGGGGCGAAGCUUGUGGUGACGGUACCUGCAGAAGAGGCACCGGCUAACUACGUG
rnacentral:rRNA from 1 species